rnacentral:tRNA from 1 species
UCCCUGGUGGUCCAGUAGCUAAGACUCUGCAUUCACAAUGCAGGGGGCCCAGGUUCGAUCCCUGAUCAAGGAA